CAUGCAAGUCGAACGAACUCUUCGGAUUAGUGGCGGACGGGUGAGUAACACGUGGGAACGUGCCUUUUGGUUCGGAAUAACUCAGGGAAACUUGUGCUAAUACCGAAUGUGCCCUUCGGGGGAAAGAUUUAUCGCCAUUAGAGCGGCCCGCGUCUGAUUAGCUAGUUGGUGAGGUAACGGCUCACCAAGGCGACGAUCAGUAGCUGGUCUGAGAGGAUGAUCAGCCACACUGGGACUGAGACACGGCCCAGACUCCUACGGGAGGCAGCAGUGGGGAAUCUUGCGCAAUGGGCGAAAGCCUGACGCAGCCAUGCCGCGUGAAUGAUGAAGGUCUUAGGAUUGUAAAAUUCUUUCACCGGGGACGAUAAUGACGGUACCCGGAGAAGAAGCCCCGGCUAACUUCGUGCCAGCAGCCGCGGUAAUACGAAGGGGGCUAGCGUUGCUCGGAAUUACUGGGCGUAAAGGGCGCGUAGGCGGAUCGUUAAGUCAGGGGUGAAAUCCCGGGGCUCAACCUCGGAAUUGCCCUUGAUACUGGCGAUCUUGAGUAUGAGAGAGGUAUGUGGAACUCCGAGUGUAGAGGUGAAAUUCGUAGAUAUUCGGAAGACACCAGUGGCGAAGGCGACAUACUGGCUCAUUACUGACGCUGAAGCGCGAAAGCGUGGGGAGCAAAC
rnacentral:rRNA from 1 species